AUGGCAGCAAUUUCUGCCCUAGUUUUAUCUGACUUUUCAUUUAAUUCUUCUGAAAGGGCAUUCAUCCCUUUGUGGAGGAAGCUAAUGAGGCGCUGGUACCAGAGGCCUAGUUCCUAUGUGCCAAAAACAGCAUCUUGCAGAACUGCAAGACGUAUGACCUUGGUUUAUCAAAGACUUUCCAAGGAAGCAUUACUCAAAACCACUAACCCAGUGAAACUGGAGACCACUAUCUGUCACCAACAUGAAAACAGAAACUUUUUGAAAAUCAUACGUGCUGAUGCAGUGAGGUGAUUUUGGAGAAUGAGGGAAGGAAAACAGAACACAUUGAAUUUGUCAUGGUUUCUACUUAACACAGAAACUAAAGGUAUCUUAAAAAUGUAGUCCUUCAGGCCAACUAAUGUGCUCUGCUGCAUAAUUCCUGAUUGGCUUUGCUAGGCUUGUGUUUGACAAUGAACAAGCGUUAGAUAAGUAUAUGCAUAUAUUCACAUAGAUAUUAAGUUGGAGUUGUCAACUGAUGAUUUCUACAGCUCCAGGCCGGAUUUGUUUCUAGAAUGACAUCUGUAGUCAGAUUUUUCAAGUUCAGUUGCUUGCCCAGAACUGCUUGUUUAUUUAAUUACAAAUUUAUACUCAUACUGCUUUAUACUUAGAUUUCCAUAUGCUGUGCCAUUCUGUCACUGAGUAAAGUAUGUUGAGUACAAGGUGUCAUAUAUUUAUCUCAUUUCCAUAAUUUUUCUUACACUUUAUUACUCUGGGUGCCUAAAGUACGGAAUUCAUGAAAUUAAAUUGCAAUACUUUUGGGAAAUUAGGC
rnacentral:lncRNA from 1 species